GACCCUGUGGUGAAGUUCAUGUUGAGUUGCAAACUCAUUGAUGCACGUUAAGGAUGUGCCAGGGUCU
rnacentral:tRNA from 1 species